rnacentral:tRNA from 1 species
GAGAAAAUAGUUUAAAAAAAACAAUAUACCGAUUAUAUAUAGUUGUAAACCCUACUUUUCUAA